UACGUAGGUGGCAAGCGUUGUCCGGAUUUACUGGGCGUAAAGAGCUCGCAGGCGGUCGUUCAAGUCGCGUGUGAAAGCCCCCGGCUCAACUGGGGAGGGUCACGCGAUACUGAUCGACUCGAAGGCAGGAGAGGGUAGUGGAAUUCCCGGUGUAGUGGUGAAAUGCGUAGAUAUCGGGAGGAACACCAAUGGCGAAGGCAGCUCGCUGGGACGGUACUGACGCUGAGGCGCGAAAGCGUGGGGAGCAAACAGG
rnacentral:rRNA from 1 species